CGGGACGGGGUGAGUAAUGUCUGGGAAACUGCCUGAUGGAGGGGGGUAACUACUGGAAACGGUAGCUAUACCGCAUAACGUCGCAAGACCAAAGAGGGGGACCUUCGGGCCUCUUGCCAUCGGAUGUGCCCAGAUGGGAUUAGCUAGUAGGUGGGGUAACGGCUCACCUAGGCGACGAUCCCUAGCUGGUCUGAGAGGAUGCCAGCCACACUGGAACUGAGACACGGUCCAG
rnacentral:rRNA from 1 species